GAUGAAGAACGUAGUGAAAUGCGAUAAGUAAUGCGAAUUGCAGAAUUCAGUGAAUCAUCGAAUCUUUGAACGCACAUUGCGCCCGCCAGUAUUCUGGCGGGCAUGCCUGUCUGAGCGUCGUUUCGACCCUCGCGCCCGGCUUCUGUCGGGGGCGGUGUUGGGGAUCGGCCACACCCUUCAGUGGGAGGCCGGCCCCUAAAUUCAGUGGCGACCACGCUGUAGCCUCCCCUGCGUAGUACUAAAACCACCUCGCAGGCGGAGAGCGGUGCGGCCCGCCGUAAAACCCCCCAACUUUUACAAGGUCGACCUCAGAUCAGGUAGGAAUACCCGCUGAACUUAAGCAUAUCAAUAAGCGAGGA
rnacentral:misc_RNA from 1 species